GAAUGGAUAAAAAGUUCCCAUUGUUCACAUUUACACAGACUGCCUCAGUCUAAUAUAUGAUUAUCCCUUAAUACUAACCACCCGGAAAAACUAUGGAUAGCACUAGAACUACAACUCCUAGGGCUCGUUUGGUUAGAAACGAGUUAUUCCACGAUAAUCGUUAUCUCCUGCGAUUUUACCCUAACCAAAUAUGGAAUAAACUCAUAACAAAAUAAAUCUCGGGAUUAGUCAUAUCCUUUACCCCUCCUACCAAACGAGCCUACCUCAGCAACAGGUAAUCAGCAAAUCAAAAACUCUGCUUCAACCUCUCUGUAAACUCUACUGGACAUAUCAGUACAGAAUCUACACAUAGUCCACCUUUAGUAUGUGUACAAUCUAUCUGAGUCAACGAAUAUUUAACUUUCAUGGGUUCUACUGAACCCGUAGCAACGAAGUCACCUACAUGGUGGUACUUCCAUAUUCCAGGUUCGUUCAAGUAGCAUUGAGUUGUAGCUUGUUGACCAUCUGAUGUCGACAGCUGAAACCGCACCGGUUUCCUAUCCCAACCAUGAACAUGCUCGGAGUUGCAGACUCGGCGUCCAAAUCUCCAAGAGGCUCGUCCUACUUGUAGUCUGAAGAAUAUGCUAUAGGACCCAACGGGGAAUGGGAAAUCAACCUCUCCAUCAACUUCGAACCACCAGAUCUGCUGGAGAUAUGCAACAGACUUGAAUCUUGAUUCAUCAGUUUCAAUCCGACUCCAAUAUCUCCUAUCAUCGAUGCCCGUUAUCACCAAGCCACUUGAAGAUAUAGACAUACAAACUCUUCCAGUUUUCUUAUCUAACCAAACUUUCUUUGAGCCACCAUCAAAAGAAUUAGGUCGACAAAGCUUAGCAUAAAUAUCUCUUUUACACAAAUUAGCCGGAAAAUUUCGACCAGCAAAGACCCUUUGAAUAAUAGAGGUGUAAUUCAUAGGCAACUUUGACUCCCACACAAAAUCAGCAGAAGAAGCGCCUCUAAAAGCCCUAUUAAGCAUAGAUAAUUUACAGAUCUGAGGCGGGUCCAUGUAUACAAGAACUGAAGCUACACAACUUUCCGGCAAAUCACCAAGACUUGGGUGAGUUUGCUGAGUAACAGUAGAUGAAAACUGAGGAAUCAACACAGAAAACGAAGAACCCAUGAUGGGUUUUCAGUAAGAAU
rnacentral:misc_RNA from 1 species